CCUGAACGAGCGACGCCGCGUGCGGGAUGAAGGCCUUUGGGUUGUAAACCGCUGUCGAGGGGAUGAAGGCAUUCAGGUCCUCCUGAAUGUUUGACAGAGCCCUGGAGGAAGCACGGGCUAAGUUCGUGCCAGCAGCCGCGGUAAUACGAACUGUGCGAACGUUAUUCGGAAUCACUGGGCUUACAGGGUGCGUAGGCGGCUAUUCAGGUCAGGUGUGAAAGCCCUCGGCUCAACCGAGGAACUGCGCUUGAAACCGGAUGGCUCGAGUCAACUAGAGGUGCACGGAACUUCCAGUGGAGCGGUGAAAUGUGUUGAUAUUGGAAGGAACACCGGAGGCGAAAGCGGUGCACUGGGGUUGGUCUGACGCUGAGGCACGAAAGCCAGGGGAGCGAACGGGAUUAGAUACCCCGGUAGUCCUGGCCGUAAACGAUGAGUGCUGGACGGGAGGGGUUCGCCCUUUCCGGUCGGAGCGAAAGCGGGAAGCACCCCGCCUGGGGAGUAUGGUCGCAAGGCUG
rnacentral:rRNA from 1 species